UACUCUCAAGUCGGUCCCAUGCCU
rnacentral:siRNA from 1 species